rnacentral:rRNA from 1 species
UACGUAGGGUGCAAGCGUUGUCCGGAAUUAUUGGGCGUAAAGAGCGUGUAGGCGGCCCGAUUAGUCCGCUGUGAAAGUCCAGGGCUCAACCCUGGAAUGCCGGUGGAUACUGUCGGGCUAGAGUCCGGAAGGGGCGAGUGGAAUUCCUGGUGUAGCGGUGAAAUGCGCAGAUAUCAGGAGGAACACCAAUGGCGAAGGCAGCUCGCUAGGACGUGACUGACGCUGAGACGCGAAAGCGUGGGGAGCAAACAGG